AGGCAGGCUUUCUGGAAGGAUCUGUGGAACCUGAGAUACCAGACUUUUGUGCCGCCUACGGAUGCUCCAAUCGCCGAUGUCUCAAAACGAGAACCCGUGGGAUCACCUUUCACCCGUUUCCCAAAACCAGAGAGAGGAGGAGGACGUGGGAGGUUGCCCUAAGAAGGGACGGUUUUGUUGCUUCUGACAGGACGCUGCUCUGCAGUGAGCACUUCAGGAGUGGAGGGCAUUAGCCAAAUGUUACCACGGUUUUACAGAACUGAUCUUUGCACCACACUUUUGGUUUCCUGCGCUGUUUUACCGAUCAGCAUCAAACAUUGUUAUUUACAGACGUACAGCUAGGUACUAAAGCAACAUAUCUUUAGAAAGCUAAGAUUUUUCUGAUUUCACUGAUGUAAACCAUUUCAAGAUCCGAUCACCACAGCCGGUACAAUCAACGUCUCAGUCAGACCGGAAAUAGAAAAAAUAACGUUCACAAAGUCGAUGCGACUCACCUAAGAAUCACCAUUAUCAUAUCAUAUCAGCGUUUUAGGCGAAUAUCACCAGCCUCUUUAGAGGUUAGUAAAUAUUAUAGAUUUGUAUUGAUUUCCUCCAUCUGUAUACCUCCACAGUAGUCUAGUUCUCUCUAGAGAGGGUGGGAAUUUUCAUUUAUAUUUUAUUUAUAUUUGUAAAUGGAAAUCUUACACCUUUUUUUUACUGCAAAGAAAUGUCACUUUUAUAAAAAGGAUAUUACUAAUAUAAUACAAUAAUUUGAAUUAUUACUUGUUUAAACUAAACAUGUAAUAAUUCAAAUUAUUUUAUUAUAUUAGUAAUAUUCCUAUUAUAAAAGUAUACAUAUGUCUCAUGUUGCCAUUCUGUAUGUUGAGUUUUAGUUGCCUGUAUAUUCACUUAACAUAAAAAUCUUGUGCAUGUGUGUAUUUAUGGCCCCAUCUGUCCUGUUUCAUUAUUUUCAUAUGAAAACCCAUGGUUAUAAUUAUUCAUAAGUAUACAUCUCUGUAAAGGGUGAGGAUUUUCAACUUGCAGCAUUUCUUUAUGUAUAUUUGUAAAUGGAACUCUUACACCUUUUUUUUUUACU